rnacentral:rRNA from 1 species
UACGGAGGUGGCGAGCGUUGUCCGAAGUUACUGGGCGUAAAGCGCGCGUAGGCGGGCUCUUAAGUGAGAAGUGAAAGGCUGGGGCUCAACUCCAUGCAGUGCUUCUCAUACUGGGGGUCUUGAGGGCGGUAGAGAGAAGUGGAAUGGCUGGUGUAGCGGUGAAAUGCGUAGAUAUCAGUCGGAACACCGGUGGCGAAGGCAGCCCCCUGGGCUGAGAUUGACGCUCAGGCACGAAAGCGUGGGGAGCAAACAGG